rnacentral:rRNA from 1 species
UACGGGGGGGGCAAGCGUUGUUCGGAAUUACUGGGCGUAAAGGGCUUGUAGGCGGCCAACUAAGUCAGACGUGAAAUCCCUCGGCUUAACCGGGGAACUGCGUCUGAUACUGGAUGGCUAGAGGUUGGGAGAGGGAUGCGGAAUUCCAGGUGUAGCGGUGAAAUGCGUAGAUAUCUGGAGGAACACCGGUGGCGAAGGCGGCAUCCUGGACCAAUUCUGACGCUGAUGAGCGAAAGCCAGGGGAGCAAACGGG